rnacentral:rRNA from 1 species
UACGUAGGGGGCAAGCGUUGUCCGGAUUUAUUGGGCGUAAAGAGCGUGUAGGCGGCCAGGUAGGUCCGUUGUGAAAACUGGAGGCUUAACCUCCAGCGGUCGAAGGAAACCAUCUGGCUAGAGUCCGGAAGAGGAGAGUGGAAUUCCUGGUGUAGCGGUGAAAUGCGUUGAUAUCAGAAGGAACGCCGGUGGCGAAAGCGGCGUGCUGGACCUCUUCUGACGCUGAGGCGCGAAAGCCAGGGGAGCAAACGGG